UCCUGUAACGAUAUGACUAAGAUACGUUCCUGUAACGAUAUUACUAAGGUACAUCCAUGUAACAAUAUGACUGUGAUAUGUAUAACAAUGUUAAAGCUAUAAUAAGUUAGGGAACGAUAUGACCAUGAAGUGUUUACGAUAUGAUAUGAUUAUGGUACGACA